UACGUAGGGUCCGAGCGUUGUCCGGAAUUACUGGGCGUAAAGCGCGCGCAGGCGGCUUCCCAAGCGCCACGUGAAAGCCCCGGGCUCAACCUGGGAAUUGCGAUGAAGACUGCAAGGCUUGAAUCUGGCAGAGGGGGGUAGAAUUCCACGUGUAGCAGUGAAAUGCGUAGAGAUGUGGAGGAACACCGAUGGCGAAGGCAGCCCCCUGGGUCAAGAUUGACGCUCAUGCACGAAAGCGUGGGGAGCAAACAGG
rnacentral:rRNA from 1 species